rnacentral:rRNA from 1 species
CAACAGCUCAAAUUUGAAAUCUGGCCUCUUCGAGGUCCGAGUUGUAAUUUGUAGAGGGUGUUUCGGGCGUGAUGCCGGUCUAAGUUCCUUGGAACAGGACGUCGCAGAGGGUGAGAAUCCCGUACGCGGCCGGCAAUCAAGCCCAUGUGAAGCCCCUUCGACGAGUCGAGUUGUUUGGGAAUGCAGCUCAAAAUGGGUGGUAAAUUUCAUCUAAAGCUAAAUAUUGGCCAGAGACCGAUAGCGGACAAGUAGAGUGAUCGAAAGAUGAAAAGCACUUUGGAAAGAGAGUCAAACAGCACGUGAAAUUGUUGAAAGGGAAGCGCUUGCAAUCAGACCGGUCCGGAGGCGAUCAGCCGCUGCUCGUUCAGCGGUGCACUCGCCUGCGAUCCGGCCAGCAUCGGUCUGGGCGGUGGGACAAAAGUCCCGGGAAUGUAGCUUCUUUCGGGGAGUCUUAUAGCCCGGGUCGCAAUGCCGCCUGCCCGGACCGAGGACCGCGCUUCGGCUAGGAUGCUGGCGUAAUGGUUGCAAGCG